AUUUAUUUUUAGCCCAAUGUUAAAGUCCAAAUUUGAAGUCUAACCUCCCUUACCUUUCACUAACCCAAAGCCCAUAACCCCAUCAGAUUUUAUAGGAGAGAAGACCCUAGCUGAACCCUAAUUGGACACCCAUGGUUGCCUUCUUAUUCAUCUUGACACCAAAAACCCAAAAAACAAGUGGCAUCCAACACCCCUCCCAGCCAUGACCCUCACCCAAAAACCUUUCUUCUCCCCCCCCAUCAGCGCCCAUCUUUCUCGCACACAAAACCAGAGGCAGACCACCCCUAAGAAGCAACAUCCGCUCUAACGGACAAUAACAGUGAGAUGAAACGGACAAUAAGAAAAGUCAAGCAGCAGUCCCUUCUCAAUUCAAUGCCUUAGCAUUCUUCCUCAUCCCAUUAAUCAGCAUUUCAAGAUAAUUCCUCCAAUGCCUUUCUUCUGAUUGGCAAAACUUGCGUGAUUGCUAGACCCGAUGGCGCACAUCUUCUCGGGUCUCUAGUUAAUGGGUGGUACAAAUGUAAGUCGAGGAAUACAUUAUAGUGCUGUGUUUGUGAAGGUCCAAAUGCUUGAAUUCAUGUCAAAUUAAGUAGAAUCAUUUAUGAGCAAAAAUUUUGGGAAAGAAUUGAGUUAGUGUUCGAUUCGGAGAUCCGUCGAGGGUCGAAGUUUUAUUUUAGCUGCUGAUUUGAGGUGCUAUUCGAGGUUAAUUCUGUGGUUCGCGGUCCAAGCUCUUGCUACUAUUUCGUUUCCUGGUCAAAUUUAGUUCACCGGAGUUUGCUAUAACCGAGUUCUUGUUAAUAUAAUUGAGGUAUUUUCUGAACCCAGUAGCGGGUGUCGAUUGCUCAGAGGCAGAGUCAUCAGAGUUUAUCAAGGUAGCUACCCAGCGUUCGCAGCACAGCUUUUCUCCCUCUUGUUUUUCUUAGACUGUAUUUAGUACAUUUUCAGAUUUUCAUUGCAUUUAGACCUUAGUAGAUGCUCGUGACUUGUGACACCCCGAUGUCGGGCUGUAUCUAUUUCUGCACUUGUUCUAUUUCGCUUAAUUUUGGGAUCUAUUUCUUAUCAAUGACUUAAAUUGACUUA